rnacentral:rRNA from 1 species
CACGUAGGGUGCAAGCGUUAAUCGGAAUUACUGGGCGUAAAGCGUGCGCAGGCGGUUGUGCAAGACAGAUGUGAAAUCCCCGGGCUCAACCUGGGAAUUGCAUUUGUGACUGCACGGCUAGAGUGUGUCAGAGGGGGGUAGAAUUCCACGUGUAGCAGUGAAAUGCGUAGAGAUGUGGAGGAAUACCGAUGGCGAAGGCAGCCCCCUGGGAUAACACUGACGCUCAUGCACGAAAGCGUGGGGAGCAAACAGG